GUAGGGAAUUUUGCGCAAUGGGCGAAAGCCUGACGCAGCAACGCCGCGUGAUUGAUGAAGCCCUUCGGGGUGUAAAGAUCUGUCAGCAGGGAAGAAAAAUGACUGUACCUGCAGAGGAAGCACCGGCUAACUCCGUGCCAGCAGCCGCGGUAAUACGGGGGGUGCAAGCGUUGUCCGGAAUCAUUGGGCGUAAAGAGUUCGUAGGUGGCACGUAAAGUCCGGUGUUAAAGGCGGAAGCUCAACUUCCGUAGGGCACUGGAUACUGGCGAGCUAGAAUGCGGUAGAGGUAAAGGGAAUUCCUGGUGUAGCGGUGAAAUGCGUAGAUAUCAGGAGGAACAUCGGUGGCGUAAGCGCUUUACUGGGCCGUAAUUGACACUGAGGAACGAAAGCCGGGGUAGCAAAUGGG
rnacentral:rRNA from 1 species